GACGAACGCUGGCGGCGUGCUUAACACAUGCAAGUCGAACGAAGUGGCGAACGGGUGAGUAACGCGUAAUAAACCUGCCCUUCAGAGGGGGACAACAGUUGGAAACGACUGCUAAUACCGCAUACUGAAGGAGGGGUUUGUGUCGGCUUCGCUAGGUGGCGGGGUAAUGGCCCACCAAGGCGAUGAUCAGUCGCCGGUCUGAGAGGAGGAACGGGCACAUUGGGACGGCGACACGGCCCAGACUCCUACGGGAGGGAGCAGUGGGGAAUCUUCCGCAAUGGACGAAAGUCUGACGGAGCAACGCCGCGUGAGAGAUGACGGCCUUCGGGUUGUAAAGCUCUGUUAAUCGGGACGCGGUACCGGAAUAGAAAGCCACGGCUAACUCCGUGCCAGCAGCCGCGGUAAUUC
rnacentral:rRNA from 1 species